rnacentral:rRNA from 1 species
UCGGGAAUAUUGCGCAAUGGAGGAAACUCUGACGCAGUGACGCCGCGUGCAGGAAGAAGGUUUUCGGAUUGUAAACUGCUUUAGACAGGGAAGAAAAAGACAGUACCUGUAGAAUAAGCUCCGGCUAACUACGUGCCAGCAGCCGCGGUAAUACGUAGGGAGCAAGCGUUAUCCGGAUUUAUUGGGUGUAAAGGGUGCGUAGACGGGAAGGCAAGUUGGUUGUGAAAUCCCUCGGCUUAACUGAGGAACUGCAACCAAAACUAUCUUUCUUGAGUGCUGGAGAGGAAAGUGGAAUUCCUAGUGUAGCGGUGAAAUGCGUAGAUAUUAGGAGGAACACCAGUGGCGAAGGCGACUUUCUGGACAGUAACUGACGUUGAGGCACGAAAGUGUGGGGAGCAAACAGGAUUAGAUACC